rnacentral:rRNA from 1 species
GUGCUGACGAGUGGCGGACGGCUGAGUAACGCGUGGGAAUGUGCCCUAAAGUGAGGGAUAACGCACCGAAAGGUGUGCUAAUACCGCAUAUGGUCUUCGGAUUAAAGAAUUUAUUCGCUUUAGGAGCAGCCCGCGUCGGAUUAGGUAGUUGGUGAGGUAAAGGCUCACCAAGCCCACGAUCCGUAGCUGGUCUGAGAGGAUGACCAGCCAGACUGGAACUGAGACACGGUCCAGACUCCUACGGGAGGCAGCAGUGAGGAAUCUUCCACAAUGGGCGAAAGCCUGAUGGAGCAACGCCGCGUGCAGGAUGAAGGCCUUCGGGUUGUAAACUGCUUUUAUAAGUGAGGAAUAUGACGGUAACUUAUGAAUAAGGAUCGGCCAACUACGUG